CGCCUUUUCCACCUUUUACCACCAGAUGGCGACAGGUUCCGGUUGGAGUGCGGUGGUGUCAUCAUCCACAGCUGUCAUCAAUUACCCUCAUCAGCGGAGCAUACUUAAGGAGUUGACCGCCAGUCCAGCGUCGCCUGAGUGUUUGCCAGUCACGGUGAUCCCUUUGACACUCUGGACCCGCUGACCAGAUCCUGGCAGUUUUCCUGGUUUCAGAACCGCCCUCGUGACGCCAUGGAAAGUACCCACUGGUUGCCCGAGUUCCCAGACUCACCUCUCCGUUGUUUUACAAGUAUCUCCUGGAUCCCACGGCUGGCGGUCGAACCACUCCUCUGUGUCUCCGUUGCACCCGAGCCUACCUGUCCGUUCUCCGCCGCACUCCUCCGUUGUUCCUGGACCCACUAAGAGACCGAGACCCUGGACAUACUCAGUUACCCUCCAAGAUUCAGAUCCAACCACCACAAUGAACCACUGCUGCCCGUUACCGUUGAUUCCCUGGACCAGACCACUUUGCCACACUCUGAUAAUUGUGUAUCUCAAUAAAUCACUUAAACUGA